rnacentral:rRNA from 1 species
UGGGGAAUAUUGCACAAUGGGCGAAAGCCUGAUGCAGCGACGCCGCGUGAGGGAUGACGGCUUUCGGGUUGUAAACCUCUUUCAGCAGGGACGAAGCGCAAGUGACGGUACCUGCAGAAGAAGCACCGGCUAACUACGUGCCAGCAGCCGCGGUAAUACGUAGGGUGCAAGCGUUGUCCGGAAUUACUGGGCGUAAAGAGUUCGUAGGCGGUUUGUCGCGUCGUUUGUGAAAACCAGCAGCUCAACUGCUGGCUUGCAGGCGAUACGGGCAGACUUGAGUACUGCAGGGGAGACUGGAAUUCCUGGUGUAGCGGUGAAAUGCGCAGAUAUCGGGAGGAACACCGGUGGCGAAGGCGGGUCUCUGGGCAGUAACUGACGCUGAGGAACGAAAGCGUGGGUAGCGAACAGGA